rnacentral:rRNA from 1 species
UACAGAGGGUGCUAGCGUUGUUCGGAAUCAUUGGGCGUAAAGGGCGUGUAGGCGGUUUGUUAAGUCAUGUGUGAAAUCCCUCGGCUCAACCGGGGAACGACGCAUGAAACUGGCAAGCUAGAGUACCAAAGAGGGGGGUGGAAUUUACGGUGUAGCGGUGAAAUGCGUAGAUAUCGUAAGGAAGACCAGUGGCGAAGGCGGGUCUCUGGACAGUUCCUGACGCUGAGGCACGAAGGCCAGGGGAGCAAACGGG